rnacentral:rRNA from 1 species
AGCAGCCGCGGUAAUUCCAGCUCCAAUAGCGUAUAUUAAAGUUGUUGCAGUUAAAAAGCUCGUAGUUGAAUUUCGGGGUCAGUAGAUUGGUCGUGCCACUGGUAUGCACUGGUCUUACUGGCUCCUCCUUCCUGAUGAACCGUAAUGCCAUUAAUUUGGUGUUGCGGGGAGACUGGACUGUUACUUUGAAAAAUUAGAGUGUUUAAAGCAGGCUAACGCUUGAAUACAUUAGCAUGGAAUAAUGAAAUAGGACGUUCGAUCUUAUUUUGUUGGUUUCUAAGAUUGACGUAAUGAUUAAUAGGGAUAGUUGGGGGCAUUAGUAUUCAAUUGUCAGAGGUGAAAUUCUUGGAUUUAUUGAAGACUAACUACUGCGAAAGCAUUUGCCAAGGAUGUUUUCAUUAAUCAAGACGAAAGUUAGGGGAUCGAAGACGAUCAGAUACCGUCGUAGUCUUAACCCAUAAACUAUGCCGACUAGGGAUCGGAUGAUGUUAAUUUUUAUGACUCAUUCGGCGUCC